rnacentral:rRNA from 1 species
AGGACGAACGCUGGCGGCGUGCUUAACACAUGCAAGUCGAGCGGAAAGGCCCUUCGGGGUACUCGAGCGGCGAACGGGUGAGUAACACGUGAGUAAUCUGCCCCUAGCUCUGGGAUAGCUCCGGGAAACCGGGAUUAAUACCAGAUACGACCACUUUAGACAUCUGUUGUGGUGGAAAGAAUUUUGGCUAGGGAUGAGCUCGCGGCCUAUCAGCUUGUUGGUGAGGUAACGGCUCACCAAGGCGACGACGGGUAGCCGGCCUGAGAGGGCGACCGGCCACACUGGGACUGAGACACGGCCCAGACUCCUACGGGAGGCAGCAGUGGGGAAUAUUGCGCAAUGGGCGAAAGCCUGACGCAGCGACGCCGCGUGGGGGAUGAAGGCCUUCGGGUUGUAAACCCUUUCAGCAGGGACGAAGCGAAGUGACGGUACCUGCAGAAGAAGCGCCGGCUAACUACGUGCCAGCAGCCGC